rnacentral:rRNA from 1 species
GAUGAACGCUGGCGGCGUGCCUAAUACAUGCAAGUCGAACGAGGUGCUUUGUAGCAAUACGAAGUAUCCUAGUGGCGAACGGGUGAGUAACGCGUUGGUGACCUACCCCAAAGUGUGGGAUAACAGUCCGAAAGGGUUGCUAAUACCGCACGUGGUUUUCGGAAUUAGAAACCGAUUUCUAAAGGAGCAAUUCGCUUUGGGAGGGACCUGCGUCCCAUCAGCUAGUUGGUGAGGUAACGGCUCACCAAGGCGACGACGGGUAGGGGACCUGAGAGGGUGGCCCCCCACAAUGGAACUGAAACACGGUCCAUACACCUACGGGUGGCAGCAGUAGGGAAUAUUGCACAAUGGGCGAAAGCCUGAUGCAGCAACGCCGCGUGUGCGAUGAAGGCCUUCGGGUCGUAAAGCACUUUUCUGAGAGAUGGGAAAGGACAGUAUCUCAGGAAUAAGUCUCGGCUAACUACGUGCCAGCAGCCGCAGUAAAAC